GGAGAGGUACCCGAAGUGGUCUAACGGGGGCCGGGUUCGCCCGGUCGGGUGGAAGCCCGCGCAGGUUCGAAUCCUGCCCUCUCCG
rfam:Kitasatospora setae KM-6054 DNA, complete genome.